rnacentral:rRNA from 1 species
AUUGAACGCUGGCGGCAGGCCUAACACAUGCAAGUCGAGCGGAGCGGCGGACGGGUGAUUAAUGCCUAGGAAUCUGCCUGGUAGUGGGGGAUAACGUCCGGAAACGGGCGAUAAUACCGCAUACUAGCAGAUGAGCCUAGGUCGGAUUAGCUAGUUGGUGGGGUAAAGGCCUACCAAGGCGACGAUCCGGAACUGGUCUGAGAGGAUGAUCAGUCAACCUGGAACUUGGACACGGGCCAGAACUCUUCGGGAAGCAGCAAGUGGGAAUUUUCCGCAAAGGGCGGAAGUCUUACCGAGCCACGCCGCGUGAGUGAUGACGGCUUUCGGGUUGUAAAGCUCCUUUAGUCGGGACGCGGUACCGGAAUAGAAAGCCACGGCUAACUACGUGCCAGCAGCCGCGGUAAUAC